GAGACCGGCGCACGGGUGCGUAACGCGUAUGCAAUCUACCUUUUACAGAGGGAUAGCCCAGAGAAAUUUGGAUUAAUACCUCAUAGUAUUAUGAAAUGGCAUCAUUUUAUAAUUAAAGUCACAACGGUAAAAGAUGAGCAUGCGUCCCAUUAGCUAGUUGGUAAGGUAACGGCUUACCAAGGCUACGAUGGGUAGGGGUCCUGAGAGGGAGAUCCCCCACACUGGUACUGAGACACGGACCAGACUCCUACGGGAGGCAGCAGUGAGGAAUAUUGGACAAUGGGCGCAAGCCUGAUCCAGCCAUGCCGCGUGCAGGAUGACGGUCCUAUGGAUUGUAAACUGCUUUUAUACGAGAAGAAACACUACUUCGUGAAGUAGCUUGACGGUAUCGUAAGAAUAAGGAUCGGCUAACUCCGUGCCAGCAGCCGCGGUAAUACGGAGGAUCCAAGCGUUAUCCGGAAUCAUUGGGUUUAAAGGGUCCGUAGGCGGUUUAAUAAGUCAGUGGUGAAAGCCCAUCGCUCAACGGUGGAACGGCCAUUGAUACUGUUAAACUUGAAUUAUUAGGAAGUAACUAGAAUAUGUAGUGUAGCGGUGAAAUGCUUAGAGAUUACAUGGAAUACCAAUUGCGAAGGCAGGUUACUACUAAUGGAUUGACGCUGAUGGACGAAAGCGUGGGUAGCGAACAGGAUUAGAUACCCUGGUAGUCCACGCCGUAAACGAUGGAUACUAGCUGUUGGGAGCAAUCUCAGUGGCUAAGCGAAAGUGAUAAGUAUCCCACCUGGGGAGUACGUUCGCAAGAAUGAAACUCAAAGGAAUUGACGGGGGCCCGCACAAGCGGUGGAGCAUGUGGUUUAAUUCGAUGAUACGCGAGGAACCUUACCAAGGCUUAAAUGUAGAUUGACCGGUUUGGAAACAGAUCUUUCGCAAGACAAUUUACAAGGUGCUGCAUGGUUGUCGUCAGCUCGUGCCGUGAGGUGUCAGGUUAAGUCCUAUAACGAGCGCAACCCCUGUUGUUAGUUGCCAGCGAGUCAUGUCGGGAACUCUAACAAGACUGCCAGUGCAAACUGUGAGGAAGGUGGGGAUGACGUCAAAUCAUCACGGCCCUUACGCCUUGGGCUACACACGUGCUACAAUGGCCGGUACAGAGAGCAGCCACUGGGCGACCAGGAGCGAAUCUAUAAAACCGGUCACAGUUCGGAUCGGAGU
rnacentral:rRNA from 1 species